rnacentral:sRNA from 19 species
GUCAACUACCCCGCCCUAAAGGACGGGGCUUGUUAGAGAACACCCUGCAAGCCAGGUUGACCAGGGAAAGCGGACACCAACCCGCUAUGUUUAUCACAGGUCGAUAAGACUCACCGCCGAAUGCUUCCUCAGUUCGGCGCUCUGGA